rnacentral:snRNA from 1 species
AUUCAAAAAAAUAAAAUAUAGAGCUAGCUUCAGCAGCACAGAGAAGAUCAGCAUGGCCCCUGCACAAGGAUGACAAGAAAAUUUGUGAAGUGUUUCAUAUUUUU